rnacentral:rRNA from 1 species
CAAACGACUCUCGGUAACGGAUAUCUCGGCUCUCGCAUCGAUGAAGAAUGUAGAGAAAUGCGAUACUUGGUGUGAAUUGCAGAAUAUCGUGAACCAUCGAGUUUUUGAAUGCAAGUUACGCCAGAAGCCAUUAGGCCGAGGGCAUGACUGCUUGGGCGUCACGC